AUUGAACGCUGGCGGCAGGCCUAACACAUGCAAGUCGAGCGGCUGCAGGGAGAUUGCUUCCGGAUUCAGCUGCCGACGGGCGAGUAAUUCCUAGGUACCUGCCUGGCUGCUUGGGAUAACGUCCGGACAUGGGCGCAAAUACCGCAAACGUCCAGAGGGCGAACGUGGGGAAUCUUGGGAUCUUACGCCAUUAGACGAUCCUAGGUCGGAUUAGCUAGUUGGUGGGGUAAAGGCCUACCAAGGCGACGAUCCGUAACUGGUCUGAGAGGAUGAUCAGUCACACUGGAACUGAGACACGGUCCAGACUCCUACGGGAGGCAGCAGUGGGGAAUAUUGGACAAUGGGCGAAAGCCUGAUCCAGCCAUGCCGCGUGGGUGAAGAAGGUCUUCGGGUUGUAAAGCACUUUAGGUGGGAAGGAAGAGCAGUAAGUUAAUACCUUGCUGUUUUGACGUUACCAACAGAAUAAGCACCGGCUAACUUCGUG
rnacentral:rRNA from 1 species